AUGGAAGUGCGAUCAAGGCGUCGCCUCAGGCGCUCGCCGCCGCCGCCGCCGCCGCAUGGAGCACUCCCAGUGUGUGAUCUUAACGUCGAUGACCGCAUCAGCGCCCUCCACGACGACAUGCUCCUGCUGGUACUCGUGCGCCUGCGCUGCGCCAGCAUGGCGGCGCGCACCGACGUCCUCUCGCGCCGGUGGCGUGGCCUCUGGGCCCGCCUCCCCGAUCUCACCUUCCGCUACGUCCCGCCCGGAGGGAUCGAAGCGGCGCUCUCCCGCGUCGCGCUCCCCGCAGCAGUUUCUCUUCUCGACAUCCGUUUCCCGGGUUUUUCGUCGCCGGCAUGGGGAAAGGCCGACGACGUCCGCGCCAAGUCGCUGCUGCGCGCCGCCGCGCGGCUCUCGCCGGAGGAGCUCGUCUUCACCCUCUCGUCGUAUACUGCAGUAAAACCAGGCCGUCCCGUCGAAAUCGUCGUGCCAUGCUUCCGCCGGGCCACAUCGAUGGAGCUGGAUACGAACAGCCUCCGCCUCAAACCGCCGCCGGCAGGCCAGCUCCCCGUGCUCGAGAGGUUGUCUCUCUCCGGCAACAUUGUUGACCUUGGCACCAUGCUCAGCCGCUGCCCACGGCUACGCGUGCUCAGGGUCACCUUCCGUAGCACGAAUCCCGACUCGCUUGAAGCGGCUCUCUCCUCUCUUGAAGCCGCUGUGGCGCUCGGCCUUACGGUGUCCCUCCUCCACAUCCACCACACUAAUAUUGAUUGGUGGAGGUACAGUAUUGGGGCUGCUCGCUUCUCCUCCCUUCUCGGUUCCAUGGCAAGGGUCUCCCCUCAGGAGCUCGUCCUCGUCGACGGCUACCACGAAUGUUAUAAUAUUGACCUGCCUUGCUUCCGGCGCACAACGGCAAUCCAGAUGAGAUUGUACACCGUCCGCUUCACACAUCUACCGGAGGAUCAUUUCCCUGCGCUCGAGAGUCUAUCCCUCGAGGGUUGUUGCACCAUCCCCGACCUUGCCACAUUGGUCACGCGAUGUCCUCGCUUGCGCGUUCUCAAGGCAACCAUAGAUGAUCAUACAGACCAUGUCACAGUCUACUCGACGUCGCUACAGGAGCUUUACAUCAAUGCCGCUAAAGACACAGAAUGCCGGGGCAUUGACAUUGUGACUCCGUUGCUUAAACGGCUGAACCUGGAGGUCAAGGCUGACAUGGACCUCAGCAUGUCUAUCUCGACACCUAUGGUGGAGAGGGUCUCGUUGACGCGCUCGUAUACAAAUUCGCCUCUUUUAUUUGGUUUUUGGUCGCUCAAGAGCAUGAGAUUGGAGACCACAGAGAGCUACAAAUACUACAAAGAUGGGGGUCUCAGCAACAUCAACUACCAGGAAGCCGCGUGUUCGCAGCCCCCUCGCAUUCAUUCCCUGGUCUUUAGCAUAUUUGCCGAUGUACGCCUCUUGUCUGUCCUCUUACUCAGUCCACUAGAUUUGUCGGCUAUACUUGCAUAUAUACUUGAAGGUGUUGAAGUGCCGCUGAACUUCGCGCAUGAGAUGAAGAAACUUCUGAUCACCAACUAUUCUAUGUUGGAGCUACAUCUCAGCACAAAGGGGCAUGUUCUUGGAGCAUUGAUGUUGCGUCUUCUUGGGAUGCACCAAAUUCGAACCGCUAUACAGAGCCUUAAGAUGUCACAAACAUCAAAAUGUCUUGAAAAUUGUCUUUGUAAUGAGCCCAACAACUGGAGGAGCCAAAGUAUCUCCUUGACUCAUCUUGAAGAAGUAGAAAUCGACAACUUCGGCGGAGGGGACAGUGAGAUUGAUUUCAUCACAAUGAUAUUCGGAUGGGCGCCAGUGCUUAAAGGAAUGACCAUCAGGCUGGCGCAUGGCAUGAAACAAACUCUGGUAGUGCUCUGGAGGCAUACCUCGGUAGCCAUCAAGGCAACCACCGCCGCCUGCGGGUGCAACGAGGCGGAGGAGGACCUCCUGGUAGGGCUUGGCAGCGUGGAGGCGUCGAGAAAAGGAGACACCAAGGUGCCGGUAGGGCGCCCACUGCUGGUGGUGCUCAGCGAGGACGAGUGCCGGAAGGGGUGGAGCGGGUCGCCAAUUUCUGGCUUCUUUAGCGUUGUUCGUCGAAGAGAUAGUGGCGGCGCCGUGUGCCACUCAGUGGUCCUUCAGGGAAUCGCUCAAGCCGCCUCACCUCUCUCCUUCAGCUUCGACUUCUCCAACAAAUCCACCUUCGGCUCAAGAAUCCAAGUCAUGGGCGACGCGCUCCAGCAAGACAACCUGGUCGACCUCACGGUCGACACCUCGUACAGGCGUGGUAUCCACUAUCUCAAGGGGCGGAUGUCGUACGUCGACCCCGUGCCCUUCUUUGACACCACCACCCACGAGUUGACGAGCUUCGUCACGCACUUCACCUUCGCGAUCAAGCCCAUCCAAGGGGAGAUAAGGGGGGAUGGCAUGGCUUUCUUCCUCUCCAGCUUCCCGCCGACAGUGCCGGCCAACUCGACCGGGGGCAACCUUGGCCUCAUUGUCCAGGGUGACGGGAACGCCUUGGGCGUAGACCGGUUCGUCGCCAUCGUGUUCAAGACGUUCAACAACUCGGACCACAUCGGCAUCGACAUCAACUCUGCCUUGUCCUCCAAAAAUGAAACGGCAUUGCCCGACUUCAGCCUGAAUGGCUCCAUGACGGCGUGCAUCACUUUUAAUGGCACCACCGGCAUGAUCGACGCCUCCCUGCAGUUUAAUGACAACCGUUCCCUUGGCCCCUUUAAGGCGGUGGUCACGCUCGGUAUGGAGGAGUCUUUUCGGCAAAGUAGGAAGGCAACAAGGAAUGCAAUGCUGAUUAUUGCUGCUUGCAGCAUUGUUUUGGUGGCUGGGUUCAUCGUUCUCCUCCGGCGCCGUUGGCUCUUCCCUGACAGGCAAAGCAUACAGCUUGGCAGCUUGGGGCCAAGGCAAUUUUCACCGAGGCAGCUCAAGCGUGCGACCAACAACUUUUCACAUCUGUUGGGCGAAGGUGCAUUCGGUCUUGUCUACAAGGGAACCUUGGAAGGCAAAGAGGUGGCUGUAAAGAAACUAAGUCCCCGCAUGGUUGGAGUUGGAGCGACCGACUUUGGCAACGAAGCCAGGCUCCUCAUGGCGAUUAAGCAUAAGAAUCUGGUGAAGCUGUUGGGGUACUGCAACAGAGGCGAGAACAGGUUGCUCUGUUUGGAGUAUCUCUCCGGCGGAAGCCUCGACAAGCUAAUCUAUGAGGUGGCCGAAGAGAUGGAAGAAGAGAAGGAGGACGAUGAGGAGGAGGCCAAUGGAUAUGCAGUUGAGGAGGUGUCUGAAACAAGCACGAGGCCAUCAAGGUCACGCACCGCCAACUACAAUCAAGUUGAAGAUAGGAUCGUGCACAUGGAUCUGAAGGCGAGCAACGUGCUGAUCAGCCGUAACGAGCGCGGAGACAUCACCAAUGUAAAGAUCGCGGAUUUCGGCCUGUCAAAGCUCUUCAGAGCGGACCUAACACACUCCUACACUGAACUGGUCAUUGGUCUAAAGGCGUACAUGGCCCCGGAAUACCUUACCAGGGGCAGGAUCUCAGCCAAGGUGGACAUAUAUUGUUUCGGCGUUCUUAUUCUGGAGAUAGUCACUGGCGACUGCGCCAACGUGAAUGAUUCCUCGGUCGAAUUCAUCGACCGGGUGCGCAGGGAGUGGGGCAACGGAGACGUGAGAAGGAUCACGGUGGGAAGCUGCUCCGACGACUGCAUUCCACAAGCUCGCAACUGCAUCGAUAUAGCGCUGGACUGCAUCCAGGAAGACCCCGACCGCAGGCCGGACGCGACAGAGAUAGGCCAGCGGCUCUCGCUUUCUCGUACCUGCGCCACAGUCCAUGCAAGAACAUCUUUCCAAAUAGGCCAGAUCCUAGGUUGGAUCCUAGCUCCCCACCUCCCACUCCACCACAAGAAAGCCCUUGCCGGCCAUCUCGACGCCGCCGCCGACGCCAUGGAGAACCACCCUGCAUGGCAGAUGAUGGUGGACGAGCUGGCAGGCGACGACGAGGUCGCACGCGAGGAGCUCCAGGAGAUAGGCUGGUGGUUUCCCAGCAUCGACAUGCUUAGGAACCACGCGUGCGGCCUCAUCGACGUGAUGACCGACGACGAGAAGCUGCGGGCUCUUGUGGACGGCCCAGCCUUGCCUGCGCCGGUGCCCCUCGUGCACAUCGACGACGACGACGUCUCUCUGUCGUCCGACUCGAAGUACUGCAAGGUGGACUCCGACAACGACUCGGGCUACAGAGGGUAUUCUGACUCCUCUAACUCGUAUGCCUCAUCUAGCGAUGAGGAGGUGUCCCUCGUAGUCAUGUCGGACGACGAGGAAGAGGAGGAGGACGAGAUCCAGAUGCUGGCGCCUGUCCACAACGCCAAUGAGAGCGACAAAGACCUUCCGAUUGACGCGGAGGUGCUCCCAGAUGUGCCUGACACCGUGAAGCAGGAGGUGGUGGCUAAGGCAGAAGAGGACAAGGUGGCGGUGGCAGCACAGGAGCCGGAGAAGACGAAGAAGAGGCCAUUUGCAGGGGAGGUGCGCCGCUCGGAGCGCCUGAAGCACCUGAAGAACUGGACAUGCUGGACAAGAAGAUGA
rnacentral:rRNA from 1 species